UUACGGUCAUAUCACUUUGAAGCACCUGUCGCCGUACGAUCGCCGAAGUUAAGCAACCGCGAUCCUGGUCCGUGCCUAGAUGGGUGACUGCUUGUGAAUACCAAGUGCUGUAAG